rnacentral:rRNA from 1 species
GUGAACGCUGGCGGUAGGCCUAACACAUGCAAGUCGAACGGCAGCACAGUAAGAGCUUGCUCUUACGGGUGGCGAGUGGCGGACGGGUGAGGAAUACAUCGGAAUCUACUUUUUCGUGGGGGAUAACGUAGGGAAACUUACGCUAAUACCGCAUACGACCUACGGGUGAAAGCAGGGGAUCUUCGGACCUUGCGCGAUUGAAUGAGCCGAUGUCGGAUUAGCUAGUUGGCGGGGUAAAGGCCCACCAAGGCGACGAUCCGUAGCUGGUCUGAGAGGAUGAUCAGCCACACUGGAACUGAGACACGGUCCAGACUCCUACAGGAGGCAGCAGUGGGGAAUAUUGGACAAUGGGCGCAAGCCUGAUCCAGCCAUACCGCGUGGGUGAAGAAGGCCUUCGGGUUGUAAAGCCCUUUUGUUGGGAAAGAAAAGCAGCAGGUUAAUACCCCGCUGUUCUGGCGGUACCCAAAGAAUAAGCACCGGCUAACUUCGUG